rfam:Tinamus guttatus contig46170, whole genome shotgun sequence.
AAAGAGGUUUUAUUCAAAACCAUCCUUCAACAUGCAUAUAAUUUUG